rnacentral:rRNA from 1 species
UCCGGUAGGGGGGGCCUGCGGAGGGAUCAUUA